AAAAUCCGUCGACUUUAAAAAUCGUGAGGGUUC
rnacentral:tRNA from 2 species